rnacentral:rRNA from 1 species
UAUUUUCCUUGUGUGCCAGCCGCCGCGGUAAUACGGAGGAUCCGAGCGUUAUCCGGAUUUAUUGGGUUUAAAGGGAGCGUAGAUGGAUGUUUAAGUCAGUUGUGAAAGUUUGCGGCUCAACCGUAAAAUUGCAGUUGAUACUGGAUGUCUUGAGUGCAGUUGAGGCAGGCGGAAUUCGUGGUGUAGCGGUGAAAUGCUUAGAUAUCACGAAGAACUCCGAUUGCGAAGGCAGCCUGCUAAGCUGCAACUGACAUUGAGGCUCGAAAGUGUGGGUAUCAAACAGG